CACCUCCUCCUACAACAACACCUCCUCCUACGUCCACAUCUACUCCUACAUCCAAACCUUCUCCUGGUUCCUCUCUUCUCCUCCCUGUGUUCUUGCCUCAGUUUUCUUUCUUGUCUCUGGUUCUCCUGGUGGUUCUGAUUUUCCUGAGACAACGUGUUCGUAGGAAACAUGAAGCUGUUGAAGACAUCGUCACAGAUGACAUCACAUACAGAACAUCUAUAUGAGUCUUCUUUGUUCCUCUGACGUCUUUCUUUGUUUCUCUCGUUCACUUUUACGGAACAAAAACGUUCUGAAAGUUUUAAAUGAACCUUUUCAAUAAAGUUAAAACAUUUUAGAAAACUCAUAGAACUGCUUGAAUACAUGCGUAGAAAACAACUCUUUAUGAUUUAUAUCUUUAAUGUAUUAAUUUAUUUCACUGUGGAAUGAUCUGCCUCUGAUCAUUAGACGUCUUCUUUGUCUGUUUUUAAAUCUCUUCUUAAAGUUAAAAUCUUUUCCAUGACCUUUAACACCCUGUAAUUCUUUGAUUUAUUUUUUUAUUUUUAUUAUUAUUUUGCUGUUUUUACUGAGGUUUUAUACAUAGAUGUCUAUAUCAUUUUGUAUUCAUGCCUUGUGUGUGAGUUGUUACGUCUUUUAUUUGCUGUCUUUUAUUUAUUCUUCUGUACAGCACUUUACUACCUUGUGAAUGUGAAGUGUUUUAUAAAUAAAACAGGAUUGGAUUGGAUAUAUUAACAAUUACAUUUCAUCUGAUAACUUUACUCAUCUGUGGUAAAUCUACUCUUUAGUUCAUGACUCUGUUGUCAGGGAGCUUUGUUCUGUGUGGUUUGUUCCUGUGGUGAAUCUGUUAACAGAAGCUAAUGUCUCUGUUUCCUGGUUCUGAUCUUAACAUGAACCUGCUCAUGGUUCACUGACUGUAAGACCAUUAAUCACUCAUAAUCACUGUGAUUAGUUAUUACAUUAAAUAAACUGCCUUUAGUAUCA